rfam:Clostridium formicaceticum strain ATCC 27076, complete genome.
AAAAAGGCUUUGAUGAGGAGGAGUACAUAUAGUCCCGAAGUAUAGAGAGGAAAUGAUGGUGGAAAAUUUCCCUGAAGGAUAUGUGGAAGGUAGCCUCUGAGCUGUGAACCGAAAUUGUAAAAGAGUAGACUUCAACGGAUUCCCACCGUUAUAGGGGAAGUAGUAUCGGAAAUGUCCUGUACUAUAUUUAAGCAGUGUACUUUUUGUACAAAAUUAGGUGGUACCGCGGAGAACAACCUUCGUCCUAUUA